GGGGCUGUGGCUCAUUGGUAGAGCGCUUGCCUCGCAAGUGUGGGGCACUAGUUUACAUCCUCAGCACCA
rnacentral:tRNA from 1 species